CGGGACCCCGGGCACCCCCGAGGACCCACCCCGGUGACUGCCAGUGGGACUCACGCACCCCUGAGGACCCAACCCGGUGACUCCCGGCGGGACCCCAGCCACCACCGAGGACCCACCCCGGUGUCUCCCAGUGGGUCCACGGGCACCCCCGAGGACCCACCCCGGUUACUCCCAGCGGAUUCACGGGCAUCCCCAAGGACCCACCCUGCUGACUCCCAGAGAGUCCACGGGCACCCCCGAGGACCCACCCCGCUGACUCCCGGCGCGUCCACAGGCACUCCGGAGGACCCACUCUGGUGAAUCCCAGCAGGUCCACGUGGACCUCUGCGGACCCACCCCGGUGACUCCCAGCGGGACCCCAGGCACCCUCGAGGAGCCGCCCCGGUGAAUCCCGGCGGGUCCACGUGCAUCCCGGAGAACCCACCCCGUUGACUCCGUGCGCUUGCGUAGUCGUCCCUCGGGCUCCCCAAAGGCCUCUAGGUCUACCCGCCGCUCGGAAACGAUCGGGCGCACCCGCCGUGCGAGACGCGGACGCGCGCCUCGCUCCGACGGGGACCGCCAGGUCUACCAGCCCCCCCCUCAGCCCCGUUAGGGUGGCCAGGUCUACCCGCCGCUCGGAAAGGACCGGGCGGACCCACGAUCGAGGUCGCGAACGGGGACGCGCGCGCCUCCGUCGAACGGGGCCGCCACGUCUACCUGACGGUCCCUCCCCCCCCCCUCCCCCGUGGCGAGCCCCCGACGAGGGGGCUGCCGCCGGGUGAAGCGGCUGCCGGGUCUGGCGCUCGCCUAGUCGUCCCUCCGGCUCCCCAAAGGCCGCCAGGUCUACCCGAGACAUUGGCGCUAAGCCCGUGGGGGAAUGCGGGGGGUGGGCGCGUGUCCGACCGGCCGGAGCCGCCAGGUCAACCCGGAUGGGGAAGGGGGGGAGGGAGGAAAGCGGGGAAGGGAGACGGGAGAGCGACGAUCUCCCGCGCCGCGGGGCGCGGGGAAGCGGGACCGCGCGAGCCUUCCGCGCGCCUCUUCCCCCCUUCCCCUUAACGCCCGGGCCUCCCCCCCGGGGGCCCCGCGGACCCCGGGCGAAGCGGCGAGAGUGCCGGGCAGGCGGGAGGGAAAAAAGACGGACAGAAAAGCGACCGCGUCGUCGUCGUCCACCCGCGGGAACUGACGAAAGAACGGAGGGAGGGGGGCCGGGGGCCGGCGGGCCCGGUCGGCCCCGGCCCGCCCGGAGGCGGGCGCGGGGCGCGGAGGGCGCGGCGGCGGUCCUUCUCCCUCGGCCCCGGGAUUCGGCGACGCGUCCGGGCCCGGCGGCUCUAACACCCGCCGCACGCUCGCGCGGCCGCGGGCCACCUGCCCGCCGCCCGGCCGCGGCGCAGGCCUGCGAGGCACCCCAGCCGCGCUGCGCUGCCACCCCGCGGCGGCGGCACUGGCGAUUGACCAUCGAGCAACGCUCAGGCAGGCGUAGCCCCGGGAGGAACCCAGGGCCGCAAAGUGCGUUCUAAGUGUCAAUGAUCAAUGUGUCCUGCAAUUCACAUUAAUUCUCGCAGCUAGCUGCGUUCUUCAUUGACGCACGAGCCGAGUGAUCCACCGCUAAGAGUUGUCUGCCUUUUCGGCACUGCCCCGCGUGCGCGGGGGGGCCGGGGCCGCUCCACGCGGACCCCUUCCGGGGGCACUUCCGCGACCGACCCGCGGCUCCCGACCGACGGACGACCCAAAACUAGCGGCCCCCUCCUCACGCCGACGCCGGCCACCGAGCGAGGGGACGCCACCGCGGGCCGACCGACAGCACGGCGAGCUGCGACCAUGGCGCGCGCCAGCGUCGCCUCCGCUGACCGUACGAACACAUGCGGAAGGAAGGGAGGGAGAGAGAGACUCGAGUGGACGAGGAGCGGGAGCCUGCGCUCCCGACGACCGCCUGGGCCCGACGACCCAGGCUCGCUUUGAGUCUGGCCCAGGCACCCGGCUCGGCCCGGCCCAGCCGAGACAGCGGCGCACCUGCCGCGCCGCCUCGCUUCGCUUCAGCCGGCCCCGACGCCGGCAUCC
ensembl:lncRNA